rnacentral:rRNA from 1 species
CGUCUCAGUUCGGAUUGUAGUCUGCAACUCGACUACAUGAAGCUGGAAUCGCUAGUAAUCGCGAAUCAGAAUGUCGCGGUGAAUACGUUCCCGGGUCUUGCACACACCGCCCGUCACACCAUGGGAGUCAGUAACGCCCGAAGCCGGUGACCCAACCAAACGGAGGGAGCCGUCGAAGGUGGGACCGAUAACUGGGGUGAAGUCGUAACAAGGUACC